GACGAACGCUGGCGGCGUGCCUAAUACAUGCAAGUCGAACGCAGUGGGGACGGGUGAGUAACAAGUGGGUAACCUCCCAUCAGAGGGGAUAACACUUGGAAACAGGUGCUAAACCGAGACUGAUGGAUGGACCCGCGGUGCAUUAGCUAGUUGGUGAGGUAACGGCUCACCAAGGCAACGAUGCAUAGCCGACCUGAGAGGGUGAUCGGCCACACUGGGACUGAGACACGGCCCAGACUCCUACGGGAGUCAGCAGUGGGGAAUCUUCGGCAAUGGGCGAAAGUCUGAUCGAGCAACUCCGCGUGUGUGAAGAAGGUAUGCGGCUCGUAAACCUCUGUUGGUAGAGCAGCGGUAUCUAACCAACAAUCCACGGCUAACUACGCGCCAGCAGCCGCGGUAAUAC
rnacentral:rRNA from 1 species